CAGCAGUGGGGAAUAUUGCACAAUGGGCGCAAGCCUGAUGCAGCCAUGCCGCGUGUAUGAAGAAGGCCUUCGGGCUGUAAAGUACUUUCAGCAGUGAGGAAGGUGGAUAUGUUAAUAGCAUAUUCAUUUGACGUUAGCUGCAGAAGAAGCACCGGCUAACUCCGUGCCAGCAGCCGCGGUAAUACGGAGGGUGCGAGCGUUAAUCGGAAUUACUGGGCGUAAAGCGCAUGCAGGUGGUUUGUUAAGUCAGAUGUGAAAGCCCGGGGCUCAACCUCGGAAUUGCAUUUGAAACUGGCAAACUAGAGUACUGUAGAGGGGGUAGAAUUUCAGGUGUAGCGGUGAAAUGCGUAGAGAUCUGAAGGAAUACCGGUGGCGAAGGCGGCCCCCUGGACAGAUACUGACACUCAGAUGCGAAAGCGUGGGGAGCAAACAGGAUUAGAUACCCUGGUAG
rnacentral:rRNA from 1 species